UGUGUUCAAGAUAAGCCAUGCACGUCUAAGUACAAACUAAAUGAUGGUGAAACUGCAAAUGGCUCAUUACAACGGUUAUGAUGUAACCGGGAGUUCCGAUGGAUAUUUCCAGUAACACUAGAACUAAUACAUGUCCCUGCGUUUAUUAGUUUCGCACAGUCCGUCGCUGAGUCAUGGUAAACAGUUGAUCGACUCGACGUCCCGGAACAGUUUCCGCCCCAUCAGCUUCGAUGGUUGGGUAUUGGCCUACCAUUGCAACAACGGGUAACGAGGAAUUAGGGUUUGAUUUCGGAGAGGGAGCCUGAGAAACGGCUACCACAUCUACGGAUGGCAGCAGGCGCGCAAAUUACCCAAUGCAGACACUGUGAGGUAGUGACGAGAAAUAAUAAAGCGGGACUUCUGUUUCGCUAUUAUAAUGAGGAAUAACCAAAGGUCAUUCCGAUUAGCAACUGAUGGGAAAGUCUGGUGCCAGCAGCCGCGGUAAUACCAGCGUCAGUAGC
rnacentral:rRNA from 1 species